GGAGGAUACAGCUCAGUGGUAGAGUAUGUGCUUAGCAUCCAUGAGGUCCUAGGUUCAAUCCCCAGUACCUCCU
rfam:Camelus ferus unplaced genomic scaffold scaffold801, whole genome shotgun sequence.